rnacentral:rRNA from 1 species
GGACCCGCACAAGUAGUGGAGCAUGUGGUUUAAUUCGAAGAUACGCGCAGAACCUUACCAACACUUGACAUGUUCGUCGCGACUUUGAGAGAUCAAAGUUUUCGGUUCGGCCGGACGAAACACAGGUGCUGCAUGGCUGUCGUCAGCUCGUGUCGUGAGAUGUUGGGUUAAGUCCCGCAACGAGCGCAACCCUCACUUUUUAGUUGCCAUCAUUAAGUUGGGCACUCUGAAAGAACUGCCAGUGAUAAGCUGGAGGAAGGUGGGGAUGACGUCAAGUCCUCAUGGCCCUUACGUGUUGGGCUACACACGUGCUACAAUGGUAUCUACAACAGGAAGCAAGACUGCGAAGUUAAGCA